GUUAAUCGGAAUUACUGGGCGUAAAGCGCACGCAGGCGGUUUGUUAAGUCAGAUGUGAAAUCCCCGGGCUCAACCUGGGAACUGCAUCUGAUACUGGCAAGCUUGAGUCUCGUAGAGGGGGGUAGAAUUCCAGGUGUAGCGGUGAAAUGCGUAGAGAUCUGGAGGAAUACCGGUGGCGAAGGCGGCCCCCUGGACGAAGACUGACGCUCAGGUGCGAAAGCGUGGGGAGCAAACAGGAUUAGAUACCCUGGUAGUCCACGCCGUAAACGAUGUCGACUUGGAGGUUGUGCCCUUGAGGCGUGGCUUCCGGAGCUAACGCGUUAAGUCGACCGCCUGGGGAGUACGGCCGCAAGGUUAAAACUCAAAUGAAUUGACGGGGGCCCGCACAAGCGGUGGAGCAUGUGGUUUAAUUCGAUGCAACGCGAAGAACCUUACCUGGUCUUGACAUCCACGGAAGUUUUCAGAGAUGAGAAUGUGCCUUCGGGAACCGUGAGACAGGUGCUGCAUGGCUGUCGUCAGCUCGUGUUGUGAAAUGUUGGGUUAAGUCCCGCAACGAGCGCAACCCUUAUCCUUUGUUGCCAGCGGUCCGGCCGGGAACUCAAAGGAGACUGCCAGUGAUAAACUGGAGGAAGGUG
rnacentral:rRNA from 1 species